ACCACCUCUGAAAAAUGUCUGGCCCUUCCGAUCGUCGUUUUGACUUAAACCUUGGUGAAGAGGCAGCUCCGCCUUCACCAGACAACAUAUGGCGCCCAUCCUUCAUAUCUCCCACCGGUCCUCUUACCGUGGGGGAUUCGGUGAUAAAAAAUGACAUGACCGCUGCGGUGGUGGCCCGGAACCUUGUCACUCCCAGAGAUAACAGACUGCUCGCUAG
rnacentral:lncRNA from 1 species